UCCCUAGUGGCUCAGACGGUAAAGUGUCUGUCUGCAACACAGGAGACCCAGGUUCGAUCCCUGGGUUGGGAA